AGAAGUGGGCACUAAUGAAAAAUGAACAAGCAAACAAACAAAAAAACCCUCAUGUUUGGAAGUCCCGCUACUGGACAGAGAGAGACGUGACCAGAUGCCGCCGUCACAGGGAUUUAGCAGUGCUGUUACUUACACGGGAACAAAUGUCUAAUUUUAUAACGAGGAGAUCAAAAGAGUCAUGCAAAAAGCUUGGUCUAAAACAUUUUCCUGCACACAAUGAAACCUUCUGCUAACUCCAACCACAAUGCGUUUUCCUAUCAAAAUACCACUAGGUGGCAUAGUAUUAAAAUUAAUUCUUAAUAUAAGUUAUUUUUUUAAAAAAUGGAUAAAUCUCUGGACUUUGGACAAAAUAAAUCAAACUCUGGGAUACCAAAAAAUAAUAAUAGAAAUAAAAAUAAAUUGUUAAAAAGCUUUUGAAUAGCCGACACAGUCAAUAGAACAAGUGUCACUAGAUGUCAGCCGAGGAGACCUUAUGUCUUGUCCAGUGAAAUGCUUAACGUUAAGGGUUUGUUUUGAAUAUAUGUUUUCAAAUGUGGGAAGAAGUUUAAAAACACUGUUCCCAUACAGAAGCUUUUGCACAUACUUUAAAGGUUGGGCAAGCCAAACUAACAGUAUGAAAGCCCGUGACGUGGGGCUGGGGUAAUAGACCACGUGGUCAGAGGGUCAGUGUAUUACUGUUACUCCAUCCCUCGAGCCAGUCAAGAAGGGUUUCCUUGAGACAUAUUAUGAAUUACGGCAGAGAAAAGAAAGCUGGGCCUGAUAACGUAUGCCUGUAACUCCAGGACGGCAAAGUCUGAGGCAGGAGAAUCGUUGUGAGGCAAGCCUGCACUACAUACUUGCACACCAAGCCAACCAAGUUAAACAGAGAGGGACAGCAGGGAGGGCGCGUGUCUCUUGUGGUCUUACAAGCCCGCAGUUGAUGGAAAUGCCCUCUUUUGCCCUCUCGCCUGUAGCUCCGGUUCUCUUCAACCUUUCCGAUCCUGCCAGGUCAACGAAGUGAAACUUCGCGGUCAGCGUUUCAAACUCAUUCAUCUGCGGGGAUUCGGACACCAUCUUAUUAUCGGUUACGUUCUCCUGUGACGGCGGGAGAUAAUCAAAAAUGCCUCCUUAGCGCGACAUCAAACACACCGUCACCUUGUCCCCACCCGCUCCCUUUCUCAGCUGGAGAAGCAUUCGAGUAGCCAGGAAAACAUAAAUGGCAACGUCGGAGAAAAAGUUGGGAAGGCAAAAUCCAGCCGCACAGAAAGGAGGGCUCUGCUGAUAAAGGGAAAUAUACCAACAGCCCUCACCACACAGAGCCAAAGGACGGCACCUCCCCUUUGUCAUAACAAACAGAUACUCGGUAUUUCUGUUUGUUCCCCCAAAGUCUUACACAAUUGGCCAGUUAUAGAUAGAUAGAUAGAUAGAUAGAUAGAUAGAUAGAUAGAUAGAUAGAUAGAUACAUGGAUACAUAGAUACAUAGAUACAUAGAUAGAUACAUAGAUAGAUACAUAGAUACAUAGAUAGAUACAUAGAUAGAUACAUAGAUAGAUACAUAGAUAGAUACAUAGAUACAUAGAUAGAUAGGAAGGAAACUAAGAGAAAGAAAAAUAAAUAAAAAUAAAAUUGGACCAAACGCCUCUCCAAAGAUGGGGAGGAUUCAAGGAUCUAAAGGCUGAAAGGCUAAGAAACAAGGAAACGGAACUCACAGCGUCUGUUUGGGGACACACCCUGGUUUGACACACGUGAAUGGUAAAAAUGGCAUGGGAGCGCGAGCUCUGCACAUUCAUCUGGGUACUCGCCGUGGUGCGCGAGAGAGCGCCCAGCUUCAGACACUGCAUCAUCUGCAACGGGGAAGAAAGGCUUCACUGGACGACACUCACACAGGCCCCCGCCAACCUUCUGUCUGAGCUGACGGCUAAAACCCUCUGUGCUGAACGACAUAAUGGAAGACCUCUCAUCCUGUCGGUUUUUUUUGUUACAGGCGCAUUUGAGCCGAACUUCCCGGCAUAAUGGCGCAUUCUUCUUUGACUGGGGGAAAACACUAAGUUCCAUUGUCCGUCCUAUGCUGACAUCUGCGGCUUCCAUUCCAAACUGUUACAGUAGAACGCUUAGGGUAGGGACAACCCCACAAUAAUCUGGAUUAGUUAGGCUACCCUGUUUAAGCUUUCUCUUCUCAUUUUUUUUUUAGAUUUUUUUUCUCAAAUGUUUCCCUAUAAAAGCCAAGAUGCGACCCUGUUAGCAUCCGCAUCACAUUAAGUUUGUGUUGGCGUUAAUUCAUGUCAGCAUGUAGACAUCCGCCAUGGUGCGCGUGUAGGAUCAGAAAGCAACAUUUGGAAGUUUGGGGAUUGGUUUUCCUUCCAUCAUGUGAAUUCUAAAAAAAUGGAAGACUGGGCACCAGGUACCUUACACAACCAUCUUGCUAGGACUCCCACGCUUUUAUAAUGGUGUUCUUCUAUAAAGGCAGACGAGAUUUUUAAAUCCGUCGCCCUGAAGGAAAGCCAUCCUAUGUAUUUAAUCUUGAGGGUACUAUCAGUAAUGACAGUUUCGAAAGCCACCUAUACUUUAUAUUUUAACGGCGCAGUCACCUCUGGUUCUGUAUUCACAGUGCGUGUUGUGACUCCCACAGUAUAAAUCCCGCCAGUCGAAUCUUCGUGAAUUCUUAUAUUUGACUUUUUAUUUUUUGCAUCAAUAUCCCGGGUGGUGUCAAACAAGUCAAGGACCUCUUCAUUAUAGAGCUGAGGGGAAGACACAUUAAACGGUUAACGCUAUCGAAGGGGUUGUGCACAGCAUCUUCAAUAUGCUCAACAGCCUCAGAAUGACAGCUCUCCCUUCAGACUGCUAUAAGUUACCGUAUCAUCAUAAAUCUAUGAAUACUGAAGUGAAUGUCAGAUUUAGCUACAAGAAUAAAGAGGAAGUGACUUCAUCAUGACAAAUAACCCAGGCACAAAAGCUAAGAUGACCUACGACCACUUCACGAGACAGAAGCAAAGGCAAAUUAGCAAACGUGGACCAGUAUGUCUUAGAUGCAGGCAGAGCCAAAGGUUAGGGCAGAGGAACUUUCUAUCCUAGCAGGAGGUUAGGGGUGGGGUAUUCGGUGUGGGGUCUCACUAGAGGUAGCCCCGGCUGCCUGAGACUCUCUGUAGAUCAGGCUGUCCUUGGAGGGUGGGGUGUGUCACUGAGUAGCCCUGGGCUGGCCUAGGACUCCCUAAGAAGACCAGGCUGUCCUUGAACUCACUGAGGCCCCUACUUCAGAUGCUGGGAUUAAAGAAAUGACUCACCACACCCAACUGAAAGGUCAGAGAUGUUAAGAAUUUUAAAAGUUUUACGAUUUCACCGCAAGACUGUAUUUCUAUUUCCUUAUACUUAUCCCGUUCAGUGUGUUUCCACUUACUAAUUCCUUUCUCAUUCAUUAAUGUAAAAAAAGAUAGGUUUUAUUGGGACAUUUCACACACACACACACACACACACACACACACACACACACAAUGUAGUUCAGGUAAAUAUUCACCUGCUUUUUCCUUCCCUAGUUCCUUCCUCUCUUCCUCUACCCUUUUUAUUUCUUUUGGUUUUUGGUUUUUGUUGUUUUUUAUUUGUUGGGCUUUUUUGUUUGUUUGUUUGUUUUUUGUUUAACAAAUACAAAAGAAC